GGGCUCAGAACGAACGCUGGCGGCGUGGAUUAGGCAUGCAAGUCGAGCGAGAAUCAUUGAAGCUUGCUUUAAUGAGGAAAGCGGCGAACGGGUGAGGAAUACUUGAGUAAUUUGCCCUAAAGUCUGGAAUAGCUUCUGGAAACGGAAGGUAAUGCCAGAUGUGGUCGCCCACCGCAUGGUGGGCUGUCUAAAGGCGGGGAUCCUUCGGGACCUGUCGCUUUAGGAUGAACUCGAGCCCUAUCAGCUUGUUGGUGAGGUAACGGCCCACCAAGGCAAAGACGGGUAGCUGGUCUGAGAGGAUGGUCAGCCACACUGGGACUGAGACACUGCCCAGACUCCUACGGGAGGCUGCAGUCGAGAAUCAUUCACAAUGCGCGAAAGCGUGAUGAUGCGACGCCGCGUGAAGGAUGAAGGCCUUCGGGUUGUAAACUUCUGUCAGAGGGGAAUAAAUGCAAGGUAGCUAAUAUCUGCUUUGUUUGAAGGUACCCUCAGAGGAAGCCACGGCUAACUCUGUGCCAGCAGCCGCGGUAAUACAGAGGUGCCGAGCGUUGUUCGGAUUUACUGGGCGUAAAGGGUGCGUAGGCGGUUUUGUAUGUCAGAUGUGAAAGCUCACGGCUCACCCGUGGAAAUGCAUCUGAAACUGCAGAACUAGAGUAUCGGAGAGGUAAGCGGAAUUCUUGGUGUAGCGGUGAAAUGCGUAGAUAUCAAGAGGAACACCGGCGGCGAAGGCGGCUUACUGGACGAAUACUGACGCUGAGGCACGAAAGCUAGGGGAGCAAAAAGGAUUAGAUACCCUUGUAGUCCUAGCUGUAAACGGUGUGCACUUGGUGUGGGAGGAUUUAUCCCCUUCCGUGCCGGAGCUAACGCGUUAAGUGCACCGCCUGGGGAGUACGGUCGCAAGAUUAAAACUCAAAGGAAUUGACGGGGGCCCCACAAGCGGUGGAGCAUGUGGCUUAAUUCGAUGCAACGCGAAGAACCUUACCUGGGCUUGACAUGCCCGUCAUACCUGGAUGAAAGUCCGGGGUCAGUUCGGCUGGACGGUGCACAGGUGCUGCAUGGCUGUCGUCAGCUCGUGCCGUGAGGUGUUGGGUUAAGUCCCGCAACGAGCGCAACCCUUAUCCUUAGUUGCCAUCAGGGAGUGAUCCGCUGGGCACUCUAAGGAGACUGCCGGUGACAAGCCGGAGGAAGGUGGGGAUGACGUCAAGUCAGUAUGGCCCUUAUGCCCAGGGCUGCACACGUGCUACAAUGGACGGCACAAUGGGACGCCAAGCCGCGAGGUGGAGCAAAUCCCCAAAACCGUCCUCAGUUCGGAUUGUAGUCUGCAACUCGACUACAUGAAGCUGGAAUCGCUAGUAAAGGCGUAUCAGCUACGACGCCUUGAAUACGUUCCCGGGCCUUGUACACACCGCCCGUCACAUCAUGAAAGCUGAUUGCACCCGAAGUCGCUGUGCCAACCGCAAGGAGGCAGGUGCCGAAGGUGUGAUUAGUGAUUGGGAUGAAGUCGAAACAAGGUA
rnacentral:rRNA from 1 species